AUGCACAUUCAUAAUAUAAUCUGUGUUAGACCCCUUAAAUUAAGGAUAAAAGUCAACACUUUGUGUUACGUGUGGACCCUACACCAAUUUUCAUUGAUUGCACUGGCAUACGUUUUUAUGACAAGUAACAUUUUCAGUUUCAGUAAUGAGUAUAUAUACUCAAGUACCUUGGUAAAAACACCUGUACAUCAUUUCCUGUCCGAUCAGCCAAUCAUGUGGCACAUCCCACAGCUACAGGUCAGGAGCUUAGCAUGGGGACAGGAUUAUUAGCACCAAUCUGAUUUAAGUAUUUCUCAUUUUAAUGCCCAUCAAGUCUGGAUCAGGGGAAUAUCCAGACUUGAUGGAGCUGACUGAGAAGCCACAAUAACUCAGACAUCUAAUGUUUACUACUGUGGUGAGCUGCCCAGAAACCAUCUCUGGCCCACAGCAUAUAUGUGUCUAGUGGCAAAUGGGCUAACAGCAGAAAAGGUUCACAUCAGGUUCCAUUUCUGUGAACCAACAACCGAAAUCUGAGGGUGCAGUGGGUCGACCGCACAGGUGAAGGCUGGCAAAACACUGCACUUCAGAAUAAGCUCAGAUUGCCAACAACAUGAAUCCAUGAAGUCAACGUGUCUUAUGUCAACAGUCAAGGCUUCUUUCCUGGCACACUCUGUGCCUCUGUAAUAAUUAUGGCUUGAAAUAAAAAGCCUAUGAGUAUUGGUGCAGACCAUUUACAUCCCUUAAUGGAAGCUAAAGGGAUACUUUCAGCAUGACGCUGCACUGUUGAGUGAAACAAAAGUCAUCUGUAGUGGUUUCGUCAACACGACAAUAAGUUCAGUGGAUUCUCCAAUUACCAGCUGUGAGUCCAGUAGAAAACCUUUGGGAUGUGAUGCAGUGCAAUGAUAGACUCGAAGGAGCAAUGUUCAGAUGAAGAAUCUGCAUAUUGUUAUCAUUUCUGAUGGAGCACAUUCAUAAAAGCACGUCUCCAACACCCUGUGGAAUCCAUGCCACCCAGAUCUGAGGCUGUCUGGAGAGCAAAUGGAGGUCCUACCCACUAACAGCUUAGCAUCCAUAAUAAGUGAACUGCUGGUGCUUCUAUGGCAAUGACACACAUAUAUAUAUUGCACAUAUAGAACAUUUCAUUAUAUGUAAACUCAAUGUGCUUAACACAGAAUAUAAAAAAAUAAAAGUAUAAAAUAAGACAUGAAAGCACUAGCACUUCGAGUAUUGCUAAUUUUUUUUAAAAACACUUCAACUGAUUCUUGACUGAUCAGAUGUUAAAUUUGGGGAGCUCCUUGUAGGGAUGCCGUUACAGGCUCUAAUAUGGCAGAAUACAACCAGAGUCUGAGUCAGCAGGUCGUGUAUGUGUUUAGAGGCUUGUGGUUCAAUGUCCGCCCUGCUCCAGCUCCACUCAUCUCCCUCCCUCACACACCCUCCAUAGUGUUCUAUAUGCUGAUCCAACUGCUGCCCCCGCGCGCAAAUGGAAAGAUGGAAAGCUUUUACGCACCGCGCGCGUUCACUUAAAAACGGGUUUAGCUGUUGUUUCUGCAUUGUCACACGCAUCGCCUGGUGCAUAAGUAGGCUUCGGCAUUAGGGAUGUGCUGUAGAAAAGUAGGGGAUGCGGUAAUACCUCACUACAUAAUACAGGGGGGUGGGGGUAAGAGGCAAGGCGUGCGUCCAGAUGCUCACCGCCAACUAAACGCGAGAGAAGCUCAGACAUCAAUAACAUCUCGCUCAUCAAUAAGAAAUUUUGAUGGAGUUGGACUGCUUAAUUAAAUAGGUUGCCUUUACGCUAGCUGAAUUUGUAAUAUUUAAUCUGAUGACCCCCAAUGGGCAAGAUCUGAAGGAAGAACUCUUCAGCGUCUCCAUCCACAGGAAAGCGGCUCGGCCAGACAGAGAAUCCGACUUGGAG
ensembl:lncRNA